rnacentral:sRNA from 1 species
UACACUUGUGCCGAUGCUUUGAUACCUU